CCUCUUUCCUCAUCUUUCUCUCUCUCUCUCUCUCUCUCUCUCUCUCUUUCUCUCUCACUCUUAUCUCCCAAGUGAUGGAAGCCUGUCUACAAAGCAGAUCGUGUUCCUCCAGAGACCAGCACUGCCUCUCAAGAGGAAACAGUCAAAGAAACUCAUCUUCAGAACGCGGAACAAGGCGACCAAGAACUCCAUCAAAGACGCGCCGAAAAACAAGAAGAAGAAAAGCGCAGCCGCCGAGAGAGAGCUGGAUGAGGCGCCGAAGGUCCGGGACAGGGUGGAGAAGGAUGCGGCUGAAGAGGAUAAUAAUAAGGACACGAAGAAGAACAAAGGGAAAAACGAGGGAAGAAACAGAGAGAAGGAGACGGUAGAGGUUGAGGAGGAGAAGAGUGAGAAAUGGGUAGAGAAUGAAAGGGAGGUCAGGAGAGAGGUAGGGAAUGAAAUGGAUAGAGAAGAACGAGACGUAGAGGAAAAGCAAGAAGGGUUAGAGGUCAGGAAAGUGCAAGAUUCGACUACUGAGGUUAAAAACGAAGAAACCAAUGAUCUGAAUGCAGAGGCGGAGGUAGAAACAAGACAUACUGACUCAACUGGACUGGAUAGAACAGAGCAGGAAAACCACCAACAGCACACGACGCCAAUCCCAAUCGAGGAAUCCGAACAUCUGGCCGAUUCUGGUAAUUUGGAAUAAUCGCACCAUUUGCCUUGCCUCUGCUUGCAAGGGGCAGGGGCUUUGUGGACAUUUCAUUCAGUACACUCAGUGUACGAACAGGGAGAAAUCUUAAAAAAGCCCAACGCCUGUUCCAGUGACCUCUGAAAGCCCACUCUGACCAUAGCAGUGGGGUAAAAACAGAUGUUCCCCACCUGCCCUUGCCUAAGCGUUCAGGGUAAGACCAGAGAUUAUUACCUGUAAAAGCACUGGAUAUGAAAAUUACAUGGAUGUAUCUAUAUAUACAUAAGCCCAAAGAGGCCCAGGGCUGACGAAAUAUACUGACUCUUGAGCUGUCCAUUAUCCUGAACCUUACCUCAGUUGAAAAUAGCCUAUGCUGUGUAAGCAGUGGGCGCAUCCAGUGUGCUUAAAUAAGACGAGGAGGAGUAGGUGGCUUGUCGUUGCGAAAGGCAAUCUGCAAUCUGUUGUAAAGAAGUAAAGAAGAUAUUGUUGUGUCCUUCUGUUUACAUUUAUGAAUAUGUUCAGUCACGCUCCCAGCAAGCAUAAAGUAUUAAGUGCGCACUGAGAAGAAUUACAUUGGAAUCGCAUCGCAAAUAUGUGUUUCGCAUUCGAGCUGUCAGCUUUCGGGGCACGUUCUCAAGCCACAGCCGGGGAGAAAUCCAGAGACAAUCUGUGCUGACUCUGCAGCAGACUGUUUGUUUUGACUAUUUUUUUAUUUUAUUUCUCACUCGCCGAGGUAAUGAAUGUCAAAAUCCCAAAAGUCCACGAGUCCUUCGGUCCACAGAAACCAAAAAAAGAAGCCUGAAAAAGUUGGGACAUGACUUGAGAACACGGCAGACAAAUGAGAGCCUAAUCCUGUCCGCCAGAAAACAAGUGUAACCCUGCCGGCAGCAGAACAUCCAGAGCUGAAUCCAUUUGCACGACAUCUCUAAAAAAAAAAAAAACAAAUGGGUCUGACCUUUCUUGACCUGGCCUGGGUCCAGGGAUUCAUUAGGCGAUGAGGAUACAGCUGAAUGGCAUGACCUCUCAUUCGUUUGUAAUUAGCAAUGGGAGACCAUCUCAAAUUCAUAAUUCAUUUCAUGGGCUGAUGGUGGAAUGAGAUUUCCUGUACCUGUUAAAUGUUUGGACACUCAGAAAUAUAUAUUUGAUCUCAUUAAAAGGAACUCUGAUGUGGUUGCUCUGUAAGAGCAGUUCGUUGUUAGAGUAAAGCCCAAACCAGACACCACCAUUCUACACAGUCUUUUCUGGCUUGUUCCUGUUCAAAAGUACCAAACUUACAAGUCUAAACACAUUUUAAGACAAAAAUAAAUAUUGAAGUCGAUGCUCA
rnacentral:lncRNA from 1 species